GCGGAUGUAGCCAAGUGGAUC
rnacentral:tRNA from 3 species